CUAAUACAUGCAAGUCGAACGCACUUUCGUUAAUUGAUUUUGAGAUGCUUGCAUCGAAGAUGAUUUUAACUAUAAAGUGAGUGGCGAACGGGUGAGUAACACGUGGGUAACCUGCCCAGAAGUGGGGGAUAACACCUGGAAACAGAUGCUAAUACCGCAUAACAAAAUUAACCGCAUGGUUGAUUUUUAAAAGAUGGCUUCGGCUAUCACUUCUGGAUGGACCCGCGGCGUAUUAGCUAGUUGGUGAGAUAAAGGCUCACCAAGGCAGUGAUACGUAGCCGACCUGAGAGGGUAAUCGGCCACAUUGGGACUGAGACACGGCCCAGACUCCUACGGGAGGCAGCAGUAGGGAAUCUUCCACAAUGGACGCAAGUCUGAUGGAGCAACGCCGCGUGAGUGAUGAAGGCUUUCGGGUCGUAAAACUCUGUUGUUGGAGAAGAACGUGUGUGAGAGUAACUGCUCAUGCAGUGACGGUAUCCAACCAGAAAGCCACGGCUAACUACGUGCCAGCAGCCGCGGUAAUACGUAGGUGGCAAGCGUUAUCCGGAUUUAUUGGGCGUAAAGCGAGCGCAGGCGGUCUUUUAAGUCUAAUGUGAAAGCCUUCGGCUUAACCGAAGAAGUGCAUUGGAAACUGGGAGACUUGAGUGCAGAAGAGGAGAGUGGAACUCCAUGUGUAGCGGUGAAAUGCGUAGAUAUAUGGAAGAACACCAGUGGCGAAGGCGGCUCUCUGGUCUGCAACUGACGCUGAGGCUCGAAAGCAUGGGUAGCGAACAGGAUUAGAUACCCUGGUAGUCCAUGCCGUAAACGAUGAAUGCUAAGUGUUGGAGGGUUUCCGCCC
rnacentral:rRNA from 1 species